CGCCCCUCUCUCCUUGCACGCUCCGCUGGUUGCGCUUCCCCAUCCGUCAGGGAAUCCAGCUCUGGGAAUCAUAUCUUUUCCUUCAGUGGUGGUGGGGUUUGGGGGGCGUGUGGCACAUUCCUGGUGUUGGGGGCUACAGGGGCUCGGCUCUCCCGGGCCCAGGAGACAGGUGAAACCCUCAGUUUGUUGGGUAGCGAAGGCAGGUAGCUCAGGAAGGAGAGUUCACGCUUGUCUCAAGCAGCCACCUGCCGCCCUGGGGACCUGGAGCAGUGGCCCAGGAGGUUGUGGAAGCUCUCUACCAAGGGAACUGCACAUGUGACAAGGUUACUGAGAGUACUGGUGCUGAUCCAUCUGGUCUGAGCCUUUUCUCUGAACAACUUCCAUAGGACAGUGCAGGACCUGCAGAGUUGUUGGGGUUUUUGGCAUUAUCCUGGACUGUUGGAGUUUUUUGGCAUUAUCCUGGACUUGAAGAGCUUGCUUUUCUUCCAAGUUUCUGAAAUUUUGGUCUUGUGCACCUUCUUCAUUAGACCAAUGCCAUGAAGUUUUAAUUCUGUCAAUCUGUCUUGUGGCAUUUUGCAUUUUACAUUGUUUACUAUAUGAGAUUGCUUAUUUCAUAAGCUUAGUGCUGGAUUGUGUGACUUAAUUGGGCAAACAACUUAUUCUCUUUCAUCAAAAAGUGAUUCUAGAUCUCCAAGCAUGGAUAACCUCUUUCAUUUUGGAUUGUAAUAAAAUCUAAUCUUACUGAUUAUUCAACCCUUUUUGAUCAUACAGAUGUUAACUCCCUGAAAGAAAUAAAUGCCACACUUUUUUCUUU